rnacentral:tRNA from 1 species
UCCUUGGUGGCUCAGAGGUUAAAGUAUCUGCCUCCAAUGCAGGAGACCCGGAUUCGAUCCCUGGGUUGGGAA